UUCAACCAAAGAGCGCUGUUAGGUGAGCA
rnacentral:piRNA from 1 species